AGUCAACAAGAUGAGAGGCAAAGAGAAAGCAAAAAUACACUGUGGUUUGCCAGUCAUUGCCUUAGAGCAGGAAAGCCCCACCCCACAUGUUGCACGUGAGGCAGCAGAGGCUCAGAGACGGGGAGGGGCUUGCCCAAGGUCACACAGUAAGUCUCUUUUCCUUGCUCUAAUAAGCUUUUCUUUCCACGAUUUUGUGUUAAGUGCCGAACUGUAGGCCACCCCCAGAGAAGAAGAACAAGAGAACCAGUCUCAAAGUCUGCAUCUCAGCCAUAGAACCCUCUGUGUUAUGAGGCCUUAGGGAAAUGCAACCCCCCAAGUUUGAAGUGAGGAGGCCCCCUCUUGAAAAAUCAGUUAAAAUGCCCUCCUUUAUGCACAUGCCAACUUUGACUUCAAAAAGACUUUAUUCCCAAGGAUAAACAACCCCAUGUUUGUGUAAUAUAAUUAAGUGAAGGCAUCUUUAAAUGUCAUACUAGCUUGUGCCCAUUUCAAAUUGUUAUGCAUCAACAGAACUUAACGAGAUAGCCAAGCCUUCUCCUUGCUGUGAGGCUGAGAUAAGCCACAGCACUGUGGGCCCUUUAAUAGAUUGCCAAAAUAAAGCAUUUUCUAUGCAAAUUAUUCAUGCAGUGGGACAGCUAAUCGCCUGCCAAGAGCCCGCCCACUGCCUCUCUGCAAUUAGUCGUGAAGUUGAAGGAGCUCCAAACUCCGCAGGCGCACUCAGGGCCUCCUGCUCCUAUGGCUGGUUUUCAGACUCUAAACCCCACAUGGAGAAGGACCCUGUCUGCCUGCUCCCCUGGGAUUUCCAUUCCCCCGCACCUGCCGCCAUGGCUGGCACAUAGCAGGCUGGCUUCCUGACUGACUGAAUGCUGGUGCACUGGGGCCUGCCUCGCCGAUAAAACCCCGGCCCAGGGAUUGGUGGAACUGCCCAUGUCAGAUCGCUGCUCCAGCCUGCACUGCCUCUGAUGACAUCAUCUGGAACCGUUCAUUCCACCCAGCAUUCCGCAGAAUCCAGGCCCAGCAACAGGCUCAUUUAGGAUGUGCUACGAGGGACACAAGCGUCCAAGUCACUUACUCUUCCUCCCUCAUCUCUCCCUCUCUUACCCAAGGACCACCUUCUCAGCAGGGGGAUGGGCCAUAGAGAGAAACAGGGGCAAAGUGGGGGGUCUAGAGGAUUAUUCAUGGGUACCAUCUGCCUGUGAGCUCCCAGGCCCUUCCCCAUACAAGGGCUGUCUCUAGGUGUCAGUUUCACAUGGGAAUUACCUGACUGGAAUCUGGAGUCAGACCAGGCCUGAGUUCAGAUCCAGUCCUAUUACUUACUGGAGUAAGUAAGUACUUUGAGCC
rnacentral:lncRNA from 1 species